rnacentral:rRNA from 1 species
CCCUUAGAUGUUCUGGGCCGCACGCGCGCUACACUGACACGUUCAUCAAGUCUAUAACCUUGACCGAGAGGUCUGGGUAAUCUUUUAAAAACGUGUCGUGCUGGGGAUAGAUUAUUGCAAUUAUUAAUCUUCAACGAGGAAUUCCUAGUAAACGCAAGUCAUCAACUUGCAUUGAUUACGUCCCUGCCCUUUGUACACACCGCCCGUCGCUACUACCGAUUGAAUGAUUUAGUGAGUACCAGGGACCGAGCGCUUUGGUUGGGUUUCCUUCCCUAGCGCUUGAGAACUGUCGCAAACUUGACCAUUUAGAGGAAGUAAAAGUCGUAACA